rnacentral:rRNA from 1 species
CAGCAGUGGGGAAUAUUGCACAAUGGGGGAAACCCUGAUGCAGCGACGCCGCGUGGAGGAAGAAGGUCUUCGGAUUGUAAACUCCUGUUGUUGAGGAAGAUAAUGACGGUACUCAACAAGGAAGUGACGGCUAACUACGUGCCAGCAGCCGCGGUAAAACGUAGGUCACAAGCGUUGUCCGGAAUUACUGGGUGUAAAGGGAGCGCAGGCGGGAAGACAAGUUGGAAGUGAAAUCCAUGGGCUCAACCCAUGAACUGCUUUCAAAACUGUUUUUCUUGAGUAGUGCAGAGGUAGGCGGAAUUCCCGGUGUAGCGGUGGAAUGCGUAGAUAUCGGGAGGAACACCAGUGGCGAAGGCGGCCUACUGGGCACCAACUGACGCUGAGGCUCGAAAGUGUGGGUAGCAAACAGGAUUAGAUACCCUGGUAGUCCACACCGUAAACGAUGAUUACUAGGUGUUGGAGGAUUGACCCCUUCAGUGCCGCAGUUAACACAAUAAGUAAUCCACCUGGGGAGUACGACCGCAAGGUUGAAACUCAAAGGAAUUGACGGGGGCCCGCACAAGCAGUGGAGUAUGUGGUUUAAUUCGACGCAACGCGAAGAACCUUACCAAGUCUUGACAUCCCUUGACGAUGCUGGAAACAGUAUUUCUCUUCGGAGCAAGGAGACAGGUGGUGCAUGGUUGUCGUCAGCUCGUGUCGUGAGAUGUUGGGUUAAGUCCCGCAACGAGCGCAACCCUUAUGGUCAGUUACUACGCAAGAGGACUCUGGCCAGACUGCCGUUGACAAAACGGAGGAAGGUGGGGAUGACGUCAAAUCAUCAUGCCCUUUAUGACCUGGGCUACACACGUACUACAAUGGCGUUUAACAAAGAGAAGCAAGACCGCGAGGUGGAGCAAAACUCAAAAACAACGUCUCAGUUCAGAUUGCAGGCUGCAACUCGCCUGCAUGAAGUCGGAAUUGCUAGUAAUCGCGGAUCAGCAUGCCGCGGUGAAUACGUUCCCGGGCCUUGUACACACCGCCCGUCACACCAUGAGAGUCGGGAACACCCGAAGUCCGUAGCCUAACCGCAAGGAGGGCGCGGCCGAAGGUGGGUUCGAUAAUUGGGGUGAAGUCGUAACAAGGUAGCCGUUCGAGAACGAGCGGCUG